rnacentral:rRNA from 1 species
AGUCUGGUGCCAGCAGCUGCGGUAAUACCAGCUCCAAUAGCGUAUAUUAAAGUUGUUGCAGUUAAAAAGCUCGUAGUUGGGCUUGUGUGCGCUGUCCGCGGGUGGCCUGCGCCCAAAAGGGCGUUUCGGUUCGGCCCCGGUGGCGCCUUGAAAUCUGCAGCUGGGGGGACGUUGGCCUUAACUGGUCGGCGACCGCACGCCGGCUGCUCGGUUACUGUGAGAAAAUUAGAGUGUUCAAGGCAGGCAUUGGGUGCAAUUGAAUACAUUAGCAUGGAAUAAUAAAAUAUGGCUCCUGCCGUAUUUUGUUGGUUUUGACUGGUGGGAGUAAUGAUUGAUAGGGACGGUUGGGGGUGCUAGUAUUGAGCGGCCAGAGGUGAAAUUCAUGGAUUCGCUCAAGACUAACUUAUGCGAAAGCAUUCACCAAGGACGUCCUCUUUAAUCAAGAACGAAAGUUGGGGGAUCGAAGACGACCAGAUACCGUCGUAGUCUCAACCAUAAACUAUGUCGACUUGGGAUCGACGGUAGUUUUUUCAUUAAGACACUGUCGGGACCACGGGAGAAAUCAAAGUGUCUGGACUCUGGGGGAAGUAUGGUCGCAAGGCUGAAACUUGAAGGAAUUGACGGAAGGGCACCACCAGGAGUGGAGCCUGCGGCUUAAUUUGACCCAACACGGGGAAACUUACCAGGUCCAGAGAUGUAGAGGAUUGACAGAUUGAAGCUCUUUCUUGAUCACUUCGGUGGUGGUGCAUGGCCGUUCUUAGUUGGUGGAGUGAUUUGUCUGGUUAAUUCCGUUAACGAACGAGACCUCAGCCUGCUAGUGUAGUCGGCUGGAUUGCCUUUGGCGAUCCGUGAUUUCGACUUCUUAGAGGGACAAUCGACGCGCAGUCGAUGGAAGUUUGAGGCAAUAACAGGUCUGUGAUGCCCUUAGAUGUUCUGGGCCGCACGCGCGCUACACUGCUGGGCUCAGCGAGUUUUACUUGGCCGAGAGGCCCGGUUAAUCUUGUGAAAUCCCAGCGUGCUUGGGCUCGCCUCCUGCAACUGGAGGCGCCAACGAGGAAUUCCUAGUAGACGCAGGUCAUCAACCUGCAUCGAUUACGUCCCUGCCCUUUGUACACACCGCCCGUCGUUCCAUAAGAGUGAGGCAUCCGGUGAAUUCUCGGGAGAGCCUGGGCGUGGCCAGCAAUGGUCUGCUCGGGUUUGAACUUGCAUAAACUUGGUGCCUAUGAUUAGGGAAAAGUCGUAACGAGGUUUCCGUAGGUACCUGCGGAAG